ACAGUUCCGUCCACCUCCUCCAGCCGGCAGGUUGAGCGGUGUUAGUAGAGUGUUUGGACACACCGGUGUGUACACUGGGCACGUUAUGUACACUGCAUGGGUAUGUACACUGGGUAUGUACACUGGGUAUGACCUAUUGUUUAGCCGCGGGGAUGUCUAACCACACCGCUAUGAUGUCAGCUAUCCCGGGGUUACGUCAGCUCACGCACCGCGCGGUCCAGGACGCGGGACCUCUAACGUAACUGUUCCCCCGGUGCAUCCUGGGAAAAUGGUACAGAUGGUAAGGAUCCAGAUGAUCGAAACCUAAAUCCUACGGAAAACACAUCUACGCUCAGUCGGAGGAGUGGCGCUAGGCUGACGGCACGCUAAAGCCCCCCCCCCC